AGAGGUUUUAGGUGGAGCAAAUUUUUCAGAGAUCACAAAUUUGAGGGAGAACUUGUGCGUGCUUUGGGAGGUGCUAAAGCAACUUCAACUCUUCUUGGAGUUCCUUUGGGACAUAAUUUAUCUUUCCUUCAAGGUCCAACAUUUGCCCUGCCUCGCAUUAGCGAGGCCAUUUGGUGUGAUAGUACAAACUCAACUACUGAAGAAGAAAGAGUAGGAGAAGUGAUGAACUAGCUCCUCCUAAGCUCCUCCUAGGCACGGAUCCUCUUCAAUGGAGAUGGAACUAAGUUGUUGAACUCCUUGGACGAAGUUCUCCAGCUGAAGACAAGGUCAAGACCUUGAAGGAAGUAUCCAAGCUCAAGCCUCAAGGGAUUGCACACUUCAAAGUGUAGGAAACUAGGGUUUUCCUAAGAAACUAUGAAGGCACUCUCUAUAGCUCUCUCUUAGGGAUUUUGGUGACUUUAGAAUUGGCUGAAUUAAAUUCAGAUUAUCAUAUAUUCAAAAGUGUUUACAAUAGGUGGGAAAAGAUACACUUAUAGGAAGAAACUAGGUUAACUUUGGGCGGCAAUUUCAAACUAAUCAAAUUGGCGCCUAGUUUGAAUUUCAAAUCUGAAUUUGAAAUUCAAACUUUGGCUUCCAACGUGACUAAUUCAGAUGUUACCCUCAUUUAGGAGUCAUUUAGAAGUGAUUUGAGUUGCAUUUGAAGCUCACAUGGCCGGAACCACUCCAUGCCAUCCAUGUGACUCAAAU